GACGAACGCUGGCGGCGUGCUUAACAUAUGCAAGUCGAACGGAUCACCUUUGCUUCGGUUUUGGUGGUUAGUGGCGAACGGGUGAGUAACACGUGAGCAACCUGCCCUUCACUGGGGGAUAACUGUGGGAAACUUCAGCUAAUACCGCAUGUACACCUUCUAUCGCAUGGUGGUUGGUGGAAAGUUUUUUCGGUGGGGGAUGGGCUCGCGGCCUAUCAGCUUGUUGGUGGGGUAAUGGCCUACCAAGGCUUUGACGGGUAGCCGGCCUGAGAGGGCGACCGGCCACACUGGGACUGAGAUACGGCCCAGACUCCUACGGGAGGCAGCAGUGGGGAAUAUUGCACAAUGGACGGAAGUCUGAUGCAGCAACGCCGCGUGCGGGAUGACGGCCUUCGGGUUGUAAACCGCUUUCACCAGGGGCGAAUUUGACGGUACCUGGAGAAGAAGCACCGGCUAACUACGUGCCAGCCGCCGCCGUAACAC
rnacentral:rRNA from 1 species